rnacentral:rRNA from 1 species
GACGAACGCUGGCGGCGUGCCUAAUACAUGCAAGUCGAGCGCAGUAAAUCAUCCGAACCCUUCGGGGGGACGUUGAUGGAAUGAGCGGCGGACGGGUGAGUAACACGUAAGGAACCUACCCUCAGGUCUGGGAUAACCACGAGAAAUCGGGGCUAAUACCGGAUGGGUCAUCGGACCGCAUGGUCCGAGGAUGAAAGGCGCUUCGGCGUCGCCUGGGGACGGCUUUGCGGUGCAUUAGCUAGUUGGUGGGGUAAUGGCCCACCAAGGCGACGAUGCAUAGCCGACCUGAGAGGGUGAUCGGCCACACUGGGACUGAGACACGGCCCAGACUCCUACGGGAGGCAGCAGUAGGGAAUCUUCCACAAUGGACGAAAGUCUGAUGGAGCAACGCCGCGUGAACGAUGAUGGCCUUCGGGUCGUAAAGUUCUGUUGUAAGGGAAGAACAAGUGCCGCAGGCAAUGGCGGCACCCUGACGGUACCUUGCGAGAAAGCCACGGCUAACUACGUGCCAGCCGCCGCCGUAA